UCCUGCUGUCCUCACUCUCAGGCAUCUUCUGCUCACUUAGAAGAAACAGAAUUAAAUGGGUGCCCAAGACAUUGUCACCAAGACAGCCUGGGACUGCACGGCUGGGGAUGCUGAGCUCCCUGCUGGAAUGUGAAGGCAAGCCCUGAGCUGCAGCUGCAGUGACACAGCCCCAGAGCUCAGACUUUCUAAAAAGCAAGAAGAGCUCUUGUUCUCUGCAAACCACGCAGUUCCUGUUGACUACACGUGGAUUUGGCCCCACCAAGGCCCUCUGGCCUCACCAGGACCUGCCUGAAGGAUGGAAACCACAUCUAACCCCAGGAAAUCCCCAGGAAUGGUGGCAGAGCCUUUCAAGGGUCACGUUGUCUUCCAAAUAUCCGGGAACCUCAGGAAACCUUUUAAGAGGAGGAGGAGGAGGAGGAGGAGGAGGAGGAGCAAACCAUCACCAGGUGGUUUCCUUCCCCUGGAAGCGGAUGAGGAGGAGAAGAAAAGGUGAGACUGAAGAAAAUGGAGUGAAGGAAAUCCCAAUGCACUGGGGAUCCAUUCCCUGGGAAAACCAGUGUUCCCUGGGCCUGGAAACUGGGGAAUCAUUUCCUUGAAAGUGGGGAAUCAUUACCCUACUGGGAUGGAUCCUUGGUCAGGUUGGGAGGGAUCACUCCCACAGCUCCCAGGGGAAGCUGGGCUCUGCAAUUCCCAGAUUUUGGGAGGGAAAUGGAAUCACAGAGAGUCACAAGGCCACAGCUCCACCCAGGAUGUUCCUCUUCCUCAGCCCUUGGAAUCAGGGGUUCCUGACAAGCCUUGGAGAGGGCCAAGGCUAACAGAGAGGUGAAAUAUGGGAUCUGUCAGGAGUUUAAUUAAAGAGAGAACCAUUCCAGCCCCUCAGCUCGUUUAAAGCCCAGCUCAGGAGGCUCUUCUCUUCUCACAGGUAAUUAUCCAAGCAUUCCCUGCACAUAUUCCCAGGGAAAAGCAGAGUGUGCUCAUCCAUCACCUGCUUAAUGCCAGGGCUGGUGAUAAACAGCAACAAGGAGUUGGCAGGGUGAAAUGGGAUUGGGAUCUUCUCCCAAAACAACCCCAAGAGGUGUUUCAGAGCAGGAAGAUUUUAACAUAUUAAGGAAUUAAUAAUCAAAUUUAAUUAAUUGGAUAAUUAAUUUGAUUUUAUUUAAAUACUUAAAUAUUUAAAUAAUUAAAUAAUUUCCCUGUGCAGAGAGGAAGAGCAAACCCUUCCAUGGCACAGAUGGAAAUGCAGCAUUUCCCUGGGCUCUGUGUCCCUCCUGUGCAGGGCUCAGGGCUGGAGGCUCCCCCAGGC
rnacentral:lncRNA from 1 species